rnacentral:lncRNA from 1 species
UACCCAUCAUCCAGCUUCAAGAGUUACCAACUUAAGGCCAGUCAUUUCUUUUAUCUCCACCCCGCUUUGUGCAUGUUUGUGAGUGUGCUGAAGUACGUAUUUCAAAGGAAUCCCAGACAUCUUAUUUCACUUGUAAAUAAUUGUCUGUAUCUAACAAAUGAGGACUUUUUAAAAACACAACCACAAUACCAUUAUCAUGCCUGUUUAACAAUAUCUCCUUAUCAUGAUGCUUUUUAAUGUUUACGUUUUUUAGGAUAUUGUAAUUCCUAAAUACCACAAAAGCGCAAGUGCAAAUUGUGAGGUUCUAAAACACAAGCCUCUUGGGCAGUAAGUUCAUCUUUGAGGCCCUUGAAAAUUCUUGCCACCUGUUCUCCCUUUUUGAGGGUUAUGGAGAAGAAUACUUUAAAUUGAUUUUCCUAAAACUGUUCAAAACAGAUAAAUUUUAAAUUAAAAUAUACUUGAGAGACAUAGUCAAGGUGGAUAGGAAUGGACUCUUAACAGAUCUUGUAAUGAUUUCCAGUUUGUUUUGUUUUUGAGACAGAGUCUCACUCCGUCACCCAGUCUGGAGAGCGCAGUGGCAUCAUCUCGGCUCACUGCAACCUCUGCCUCCCAGAUCAAGCGAUUCUCCUGCAUCAGCCUCUCCAGUAGCUGGGAUCACCAUGCACAGCUAAUUUUUGUAUUUUUAGUAGAGACGAGGUUUCGCCAAGUUGGCAGGGCCAGUCUCAAACUCCUGACCUCAGGUGAUCCGCCUUCCUCGGCCUCCCAAAGUGCUGGGAUUAUGGACAUGAGCCACCGUACCCAGCCUUUUUUUGAGACAGAGUCUGGCUGUGUCACCCAGGCUGGAGUGCAGUGGCGUGAUCUCAGCUCACUGCAAUGAUCUCAGCUCACAGCAACCUCUGCCCCCUGGGUUCAAGCGAUUCUCCUGCCUCAGCCUCCCGAGUAGAUGGGACUACAGGCAUGCGCCACCACACCCAGCUAAUUUUUGUAUUUUUAGUAGAGACAGAGUUUCACUAUGUUGGCCUGGCUGGUCUGGAACUCCUGACCUCAAGUGAUCUGCCCGCCUUGGCUUCCCAAAGUGCUGGGGUAGCAGGCGUGAGCCACCGUGCAGGGCCCCUCUUGUAAUGAUUUCUAAUGUGACUAAAAACAUUUUCCUUUAUUCCCUCUUCCUCCCCAAAUAUUACAUGAUAAAUAUACAUUAAUAGAAUACAGAAAAAUAAGCAUUUAUGGUAAUGUCAUAAUUUUAUCGUCAUUAAUUAGAAGUGGUUCUAAGCAAAAGUGGUCAUGUAGUCUCAUUACUUGACAAAAGAAGUCUUAAGAUCAGCUCUUUAAACUUCAGGUUGUCUUUUUUGAUUGGCAGACAUCCUCCAAUUUAACAGGCUCAUAACAACCUUGUAACAGCUCAGCUUAUUUUAUUGGAGUACACUUUACAACUAGUUCAUCUUGGUAGAUCCACUUGAAAGCUAAUGCUUUAAGUGGAUAUUCUUGGCUUGUGAUUUUUCUUUUAAUGUCCAAAGUGGGCAUUCAGAUUUAAAUGUGUACCUGUUACUUUAUUUCAGCCACAUUCUCUGGCACAGAACUUUGGAAACUUUGGGGAUCACUUACUUAUCUUGGAGAUAGAAUGUUUUCUAAGGUAUAUUUGAGCCUACCUGUGGAUUAUGCCUUUACUCGUUGCUAAAGGGAGAGAAAGAGAAAAGAUAUGGCUUUCAUUUUAGGUUUCAACUUUCAUAGGAGGCUGUCAUCAACUCAGAAAAUGUAGAAAAUUUAAAUAUCUAUUAAAGCAUUGGGACCAUUCACUUAGAAACCUAGAAUAUUUGUUAGCUAAGGAUUGGUUUGAAGGAUACGUUUUUAUUCCCCUAAGCCUGACUACUUAACCAGGUUGUGUUUCAGGACUGCCUGAACAACAUUAUUUCAUAUUCUUUUGUUCUGCUUCUGGAGAAGAUAUGUAUUAGUUCUAAGGUAGUGCAGGGACGUGUAUAUUUUGAAAGGG